rnacentral:rRNA from 1 species
UACGGGGGGGCAAGCGUUGUUCGGAAUUACUGGGCGUAAAGCGUGCGCAGGCGGUGAUGUAAGACCGAUGUGAAAUCCCCGGGCUUAACCUGGGAACUGCAUUGGUGACUGCAUUGCUCGAGUAUGGCAGAGGGGGGUGGAAUUCCACGUGUAGCAGUGAAAUGCGUAGAGAUGUGGAGGAACACCGAUGGCGAAGGCAGCCCCCUGGGCCAAUACUGACGCUCAUGCACGAAAGCGUGGGGAGCAAACAGG